UCUGUUGGCUGACACAGUGUGAGGGUCUGUUACUGACACAGAGUGAGGGUCUGUUAUUGGACACAGAGUGAGGGUCUGUUAUUGACACAGUGUGAGGGUCUGUUAUUGACACAGUGUGAGGGUCUGUUAUUGACACAGUGUGAGGGUCUGUUACUGACACUGUGAGGUCUGUUAUUGACACAGAGUGAGGGUCUGUUAUUGACACAGUGUGAGGGUCUGUUACUGACACAGUGUGAGGGUCUGUUAUUGACACAGAGUGAGGGUCUGUUAUUGACACAGUGUGAGGGUCUGUUACUGACACAGUGUGAGGGU
rnacentral:lncRNA from 1 species